AUUGAACGCUGGCGGCAGGCCUAACACAUGCAAGUCGAGCGAGCGGCGGACGGGUGAGUAAUGUAUGGGGACUGCCCGAUAGAGGGGGAUAACUACUGGAAACGGUAGCUAAUACCGCAUACUAUCGGAUAACCCAUAUGGGAUUUGCUAGUAGGUGGGGUAAUGGCUCACCGAGGCGACGCUCCCUCGCUGGUCUGAGAGGAUGGUCAGCCACACUGUGACUGAGACACGUCCCAGACUCCUACGGAGGCAGCAGUGGGGAAUAUUGCACAAUGGGCGCAAGCCUGAUGCAGCCAUGCCGCGUGUAUGAAGAAGGCCGUAGGGUUGUAAAGUACUUUCAGUCGGGAGGCGUUACCGACAGAAGAAGCACCGGCUAACUCAGUGCCAGCAGCCGCGGUAAUAC
rnacentral:rRNA from 1 species